GAAAAAAGACAAUGUAGUGCUAAUAUGCUCAAGAGCCAUGGGAUGUUGAGUGUCGGAAGGAAUAAAGGCACAGCAAGGAGGAGAAUGGAAUUCCUGCUUCAAGGAAAUGAUGGGAAGAAACCAGUACUGCAGUACUCUUGCUGGAGUUAUCUGUGAAGGAAUUGGUGAAGUGUCCCAGUGACUUUAUGAACCAAAGGAUCAUUUGGACCAGAAG
rnacentral:lncRNA from 11 species